UACGUAGGGGGCAAGCGUUAUCCGGAUUUACUGGGUGUAAAGGGAGCGUAGACGGCAUAGCAAGUCUGAAGUGAAAGCCCGUGGCUCAACCGCGGAACUGCUUUGGAAACUGUUAAGCUGGAGUACUGGAGAGGCAAGCGGAAUUCCUAGUGCAGCGGUGAAAUGCGUAGAUAUUAGGAGGAACACCAGUGGCGAAGGCGGCUUGCUGGACAGAGACUGACGUUGAGGCUCGAAAGCGUGGGGAGCAAACAGG
rnacentral:rRNA from 1 species